ensembl:lncRNA
UCCUGUGGCUGCUGAGCCCCCCAAGUGUGGGUCCUAUGGGUCCUAUGGCUGCUGAGCCCCAUAAGUGUGGGUCCUAUGGGUCCUAAACCCCAUAAGUGUGGUGCUAUGGCUGCUGAGCCCCAUAAGUGUGGGUCCUAUGGGUCCUAAACCCCAUAAGUGUGGUGCUAUGGCUGCUGAGCCCCAUAAGUGUGGCUCCUAUGGGUCCUAUGGCUGCUGAGCCCCAUAAGUGUGGGUCCUAUGGGUCCUAUGGUUGCUGAGCCCCAUAAGUGUGGGUCCUAUGGGUCCUAUGGCUGCUGAGCCCCAUAAGUGUGGGUCCUAUGGGUCCUAUGGGUCGUAUGGCUGCUGAGCCCCAUAAGUGUGGGUCCUGUGGGUCCUAUGGGUCCCAUGGGUCCUAUGGCUGCUGAGCCCCAUAAGUGUGGGUCCUAUGGGUCCUAUGGCUGCUGAGCCCCAUAAGCGUGGGUCCUAUGAGCCCUAUGGGUCCUAUGGCUGCUGAGCCCCAUAAGUGUGGGUCCUGUGGGUCCUAUGGGUCCGACGGCUGCUGUGCCCCAUAAGUGUGGGUUCUAUGGGUCCUAUGGGCGCUGAGCCCCAUAAGUGUGGGUCCUAUGGCUGCUGAGCCCCAUAAGUGUGGGUCCUAUGGGUCCUGAGCCCCAUAAGUGUGGGUACUGUGGGUCCUAUGGGUCCCAUGGGUCCUAUGGCUGCUGAGCCCCAUAAGUGUGGGUCCUAUGGGCCCUAUGUGUGCUGAGCCCCAUAAGUGUGGGUCCUAUGAGUCCUAUGGGCCCUAUGGGUCCUGAGCCCCAUAAGUGUUGGUCCUGUGGGUCUUAUGGAUCCUAUGGGUCCUCUGGAUGCUGAGCCCCAUAGAUGUGGGUCAUGUAGGUCCUAUGGAUCCUAUGGGUUGUAUGGCUUCUGAGCCCCAUAAGUGUGGGUCCUGUGGGUCCCAUGGGUCCCAUGGGUCCCGUGGGUCCUAUGGCUGCUGAGCCCCAUAAGUGUGGGUCCUAUGGGUCCUAUGGCUGCUGAGCCCCAUAAG